UAGCGAAAGCGAAUCCUAAUGAGGGUGUUGUCAGUGGCAUGUUCUGGACCCGAAGCGGGGUGAUCUACCCAUGGCCAGUGUGAAGCAGCUGUAAGAGGUUGUGGAGGCGCGAACCCACUUAGGUUGAAAACUGAGGGGAUGAGCUGUGGGUAGGGGUGAAAGGCCAAUCAAACUCCGUGAUAGCUGGUUCUCCCCGAAAUGCAUUUAGGUGCAGCGUUGUGUGUUUCUUGCUGGAGGUAGAGCUACUGGUUGGUUGAGCGGGACUACAAUCUUAGCAAUGUCAGCCAAACUCCGAAUGCCGGUAAUGUUAAGCAUGGCAGUGAGACUGCGGGGGAUAAGCUCCGUUGGUCGAGAGGGAAACAGCCCAGAUCGCCGGUUAAGGCCCCUAAGGGUGUACUAAGUGGAAAAGGAUGUGGGAUCGCGAAGACAGCCAGGAGGUUGGCUUAGAAGCAGCCAUCCUUGAAAGAGUGCGUAAUAGCUCACUGGUCGAGUGGUUCUGCGCCGACAAUGUAGUGGGGCUCAAGUACACCGCCGAAGCCGCGGCAGUCAGCAAUUUUUUUGUUGGUUGGGUAGGGGAGCGUCGUGCACUGCUGUGAAGCACCUGGGUGACUUGAUGGUGUGGAGUGUGUGCGAGUGAGAAUGCAGGCAUGAGUAACGAAUGAAAAGUGGAAAACUUUUCCGCCGGAUGACUAAGGGUUCCUGGGUUAAGCUAAUCUUCCCAGGGUGAGUCGGGACCUAAGGCGAGGCCGACAGGCGUAGUCGAUGGAUAACCAGUUGAUAUUCUGGUACCCGUGUAUGUGCGCCCAGUGGUGAAUCAGUGGUACUAACCAUCCAUGGAUCUUCUGGUCAUGCUUUU
rnacentral:rRNA from 1 species